AUGCUCGAACGAGUGCUGAACGAAACGUCAAGUUCCACGACAACCAUCGGCAUGUACCCCUACAUCGCAUCGGAACGCCGAGUUCCUCUUCGGAGGUGUGUACGACGACCAGGGCCAAAAGACCCGUACACCACUACCGUCGUUGAAGACCCGUGUAACGCAUGCAUAAAGUACCUCUACGGAAGACCCGAACGCCUACGAACAUGUAUCACUAUCGUCGCCGAGAUCGCGAGAACCUAUACCGUCGACCCUAGAGCGUGCGAGAACGAUUACUUCUACUACCGCCGUCACGAGAACGUCUACUUCCUCUACUUUGCACCGAAUGAGAACUGUCUCGCUUGCACGCUUCGAAGGUAUAACAUCGAGACGACGUCCGUGAACGAAUGCUUGCGUUGUAUGAGUUGGACCGCGUGUUGA
rnacentral:rRNA from 1 species